rnacentral:rRNA from 1 species
UACAGAGGUCCCGAGCGUUGUUCGGAUUCAUUGGGCGUAAAGGGUGCGUAGGUGGCGCCGUAAGUGGGGUGUGAAAUCCCGGGGCUUAACCCCGGGACUGCAUUCCAUACUGCGGUGCUUGAGGACUGGAGAGGAGACUGGAAUUUACGGUGUAGCAGUGAAAUGCGUAGAGAUCGUAAGGAAGACCAGUGGCGAAGGCGGGUCUCUGGACAGUUACUGACGCUGAGGCACGAAGGCCAGGGGAGCAAACGGG